rnacentral:tRNA from 1 species
GCCACCAUAGCUCAGUGGCAGAGCACUGGUCUUGUAAACCAGUGGUCGUGAGUUCGAUCCUCAAUGGUGGCU